AGAGUAUCAGAAAUGAAAUACUUUUCUAAGAACACACUACUUUUGGAGAAUGUGUCACCAGACCCUGGGUCCAUGCCUUGGCCAAGUCCCAAGAUCUGAUCAGGCUCUUUGGUGAUCCCAACAUAGCUAUUGGAGCACAGGAGAUGAAUGGGUGGAGAGCAGGAAGGAUAACUGAAGAAGAUGAAAUGUCCCCCAGGUAGCUGGGACUACAGGUACACGCCACCACGCCUGGCUAGACAACCAAACCUCUGCUGGAAACCAAGGUCCUGCCCA